GUGGUGAAUUAACAUCUUUUGAUUUAGUCUAUUGUCCCUGAUAGCAUUUUAUUUCCAACCGUGCAAUUGCUGAUGCUUCUGUUUUCUUUUUGCUUUUUCCCCUGCAGCUUAACUAACAUUGACUACUGUGUUAGGAUUAGUCAUUGCUGACUGUGCCAGCCUGCAGCCUCAUAAUCAGAGCCUUGUCACCAAGCAUGGCUGCCUCAGUGACUGGAAUGGAAAUGAAAAUAAAGCAAGUGUUAUUUUCCUCAUCCUGAAGCAACAGAGAACUGCAUCAGGCUUACCAACAUGAACGUGGGUAAGAAGGAGUUUUGAAGUCCAGCAAAGAUUUUAUAGCUAGUGAGGCUGGCUGGAAGCAGGGUCGAUCUGGUCUGAUGUGUUGCAAGAUGUGAACUUAUUAAGGCAUCACAGAGGCAACUCCCAGCGGGGGUGGAGGAGAGCAGCAGGGAUGGAAAGGAAGAAGACUCUCAAGAUAGGAUGCUCCAAAGGAUGAUUGGAAGAGAAGGGUGAUGUCUGGAAGCGAUAAGCCUCAGAUGUUUGUUUGCACCUUACUGGAAAGCCAUGUAAAUUAAUGGAAACUUCCUGGCAAAAUAGCUUGACUUGUAGCAACUUCACAACCAUAACAAUCCAGAGGUGAGGUUUGCCCGCACCCUAUUCAUUUCAAUCCCGAAGGCAAUUUUCCCCUUGGCCAGAGAGAAGCUCAAGAACAAAAAACCAAACACCGCAUGUUCUCACUCAUAGGUGGGAAUUGAACAAUGAGAACACAUGGACACAGGAAGGGGAACAUCACACUCUGGGGACUGUUGUGGGGUGGGGGGAGGGGGGAGGGAUAGCAUUAGGAGAUAUACCUAAUGUUAAAUGACAAGUUAAUGGGUGCAGCACACCAGCAUGGCACAUGUAUACAUAUGUAACUAACCUGCACAUUAUGCACAUGUACCCUAAAACUUAAAGUAUAAUAAUAAUAAAAUAAAAAAAGAAAAUUAAAAAAUAAAAAUUAAAAAAUAAAAUAAGAUCAUUUCUUAAAAAAAAAAUACUGUGAAUGAAAGCAAGAAAGGUGGCAUCAGUGAGAUGCCAUGAAGAGAGUCAGGGUUGGCAUAAGUUGUCUCACAGUGCCUUCAUGUAGCACUCCCAGAUUUCAAUUCAAGCCAAGCCACCUCUGUCAGGACAUUCACCAGGAGCCCCA
rnacentral:lncRNA from 1 species